AUUUGCCCAGUGCUGCUGAAAGGAUGCCCAAGGAUGUCUUUCUCCUGAAUGAAGUCUCAGUGGCAUGGCAGUUUGGGAAACGUUGGCCUAAAACAGAAAACGUCUUCCCAGAUUCAAUUAGUACAUCAAUAUGAUGAUUUUUUAAAGCAUGAACUCUCAGGAAAAAGAAAUGGAAGAGAAGACUACAGCAACAACAUUGUGGAAGCUGGGGAACUAAAGCAAUGACCUUCGAGGCAAAGAAAGUGGAAUCCUGAGCUGGCAUAAGGGGAAGGCUGUCAGCUUCUUUGGGCAAAGACUGAGUCAUCCCCGCAUUCUCAGCACCUGGUGCAAUUUAAGCAGAAAUAUCUUGAAGAUUUUUCGUAUCUUCAGGGAGAUUAGGAAUGGGAAUGGAAUGGGAACGCCAAUGCAGGAAGGAUGAGAAGGUCUUCCUGAAACCAGCGGGCUUCCUGAGGAAUGUGAAGAGAACCAGGUCACCUGGGAUUUCUUCCUUCCUCAGAAGAUCUCCCCAAGUCAACAUCGCCUCUGAAUUUUCUAUUUCCUUUUGGCAAAUAAAAGAAAAAUCUGUUCCUGCGGUUGACUGCUAGGAAGACAGACAAGAGGAUGGCUGAAAUGGCCCACUUACAGGGUCUUGGUCCACAUAUUUAUUGACAAAAUAAGCCCACCAAAGUCUCAGCUGUUCAACUCAUCUUUGAUUUGAGGGAAAGCCAUGUCUGUCUCAGGCAUGACAUUCCCGAGAGAGAGCUUCCAAGUCAUCCUCAGACGUCCAUCAAGUUUAAGGAAAAGACAUAAAAAUACUGCAGGCUAAUGAGAAGUGAAAGAGGCAUACACAAUGUGCAAAUAAAGCAGAAAAUGAUACAGACAUCUAGAAUAAGUCUGCAGAUGCCUCCAAGGAGUCCGAAACCAAGUCCGAAGUCAACGACAAGCAAUGAUGGCGAUGGCGAUCCUAGUUAAUAAAAAGGGGGGAGAUGUGGGCGGCAAGCCAGCCAGGUGCCAAGGCAAGAGACCGAGGACAUGAGCUGUUCCAGUAUAAUAAAAUAUAAAACAAGAAUAGUUAUACCAGAUAUAGAUCUUAGAUAUGAUUAUAUAUGAAUAUAAUUAAUCGUUAGUUUGUGGCAAUUACUCUUUAUUCCAAUAUUAUAAUAAUCCUCACUCUAUAAUCAUAACCUAGGAAAAACCAGGCCAUACAGAGAUAGGAGCUGAGGGGACAUAGUGAGGAGUGACCAGAAGACAAGAGUGCGAGCCUUCUGUUAUGCCCAGACAGGGCCACCAGAAGGGCUCCUUGGUCUAGCGGUGAUGCCAGCGUCUGGGAAGAUGCCCGUUGCCAGGCGGACCGAGGUCUAGCGGUAGCGUAAGUGUCAAGGGAAAACACCCGCUACUUAGCAGACCGGGAAAGGGAGUCUCCCUUUCCCCGGGGGAGUUUAGAAAAGACUCUGCUCCUCCACCUCUUGUGGAGGGCCUGACAUCAGUCAGGCUCGCCCACAGUUAUCCAGAGGCCUAACCGUCUCCCUGUGAUGCUGUGCUUCAGUGGUCACGCUCCUAGUCCGCCUUCAUGUUCCAUCCUGUACACCUGGCUCUGCCUUCUAGAUAGCAGUAGCAAAUUAAUGAAAGUACUAAAAGUCUCUGAUAUGCAUAAAUAACGGUGUAAGCUGUCUUUCUCUUUGUCUCCUCUCUCUCUCUGCCUCGGCUGCCAGGCAGGGAAGGGCCGGCCCCCUGUCCAGUGGACACGUGACCCACGUGACCUUACCUAUCGUUGGAGAUCACUCACACUCUUUACCCUGCCCCUUUUGCUUUGUAUCCAAUAAAUAGCACAGCCUGGCAUUCGGGGCCACUACCAGUCUCCGCGCAUUGGUGGUAGUGGUCCCCCGGGCCCAGCUGUCUUUUCUUUUA